UUCCGGUUGAUCCUGCCGGAACCCCACUGCUAUCGGGAUAGGACUAAGACAUGCUAGUCAAGCGCUUUCUAGCUAAUGAGAAAGCGCGGCGUACAGCUCAGUAACACGUGGCUAACCUGCCCUUGGGACGGGAAUACCCCCGGGAAACUGGGGCUAAAUCCCGAUAGGUGAAAAAUUCUGGAAUGAAUUUUCGCCCUAAAAAACGUUUAUGUCAUGCUCAUAUGCGUUGCCCAAGGAUGGGGCCGCGUCCGAUCAGGUAGUUGGUGAGGUAAUGGCUCACCAAGCCUUUUACCGGUGCGGGCCGUGAGAGCGGGAGCCCGGAGAUGGGCACUGAGACAAGGGCCCAGGCCCUACGGGGCGCAGCAGUCGCGAAAACUUUGCAAUACACGAAAGUGUGACAAGGCUAUCCCGAGUGCCAUCCGCUGAGGAAGGCUUUUACCCAGUAUAAAUAGCUGGGAGAAUAAGGAGAGGGCAAGUCUGGUGUCAGCCGCCGCGGUAAUACCAGCUCUCCGAGUAGUGUGGAUGUUUAUUGGGCCUAAAGCAUCCGUAGCUUGCUAAACAAGUCCCCUGUUAAAUCCACCGAUUUAAUCGUUGGAUUGCGGGGGAUACUGUUUGGCUAGGGGACGGGAGAGGCCGACGGUAUUUCCGGGGUAGGGGUGAAAUCCUAUAAUCCCGGGAAGACCACCAGUGGCGAAGGCUGUCGGCUAGAACGCGCCCGACGGUGAGGGACGAAAGCUGGGGGAGCGAACCGGAUUAGAUACCCGGGUAGUCCCAGCUGUAAACGAUGCAGGCUAGGUGUUUGGGCGGGCCAAGAGCCGCUCUAGUGCCGCAGGGAAGCUGUUAAGCCUGCCGCCUGGGGAGUACGGCCGCAAGGCUGAAACUUAAAGGAAUUGGCSGGGGAGCACCACAAGGGGUGAAGCUUGCGGUUUAAUUGGAUUCAACGCCGGAA
rnacentral:rRNA from 1 species